CUAGCUUUCAGGAUAGAUGUAUGACUCGGGCCUUGAGAAAGCAUUAGUUCAUAGUAAAAUCUGGGCAAUGAUGUUUAUGUUCAAAUUGACAUGAAGCCUCUCAGUCCCUUGGUAUUAAGGUUUGUGGCUUAGCCUUCAUGAGAGGCUGCAGCAUGAUGGUUCUGUGUGUGUGUAUGUGUGUGUGUGAAAAGCAAUAAAUGCAUCAGUUGAAUGUUUCCAAGGCAUUUCUCCCUAUAAAUCUCUCAUCAGUGUGUUUCAGUAGAUUAGAUACCGACCCUAUUGUGUAUAGUCUCUGAAACUCCCUGAAAGGAAACCCGUGGUUCUCUUGUAGAUUGGCGGAAGGAGAAGUUCCAGGCCUGUCCUGUCACUCUGGAUCCAGGAUCUGCCCAUUCAGACCUUGUCAUCUCUCAUGAAAAGAAAACUGUGGCGUUGAAGGACUUCAAUAAUGCCUCAUCAGACACCUGCAGCGUACUGGGCUUUGACGGCAUCACAGCCGGGCGCUGGUACUGGGAGGUGGAGGUCCAGGUAAUGACAAGACCAAGGCAUGACUGCGGCACAAGAGGCGCGGUGCAGGAAGGACAUUGUCAUUGGAUGAGGCGAUCAAGGUCAGGGUGUGACGGAGUGGUGAGUGGAUUGCCUUGGCUGAUAGAGGACGCACCAAGAAUGAUAGUAGCAGUGAACUCUUCCAUGGCUGGAGAGGAGGGUGGUGGGAAGGCUGCUGAACACGGGCACCUGGAGUAGCUGAUGGGGGUGUAGGAUGGCUGUGCGUACAUCG